rnacentral:rRNA from 1 species
AGAGUUUGAUCCUGGCUCAGGAUGAACGCUGGCGGCGUGCCUAACACAUGCAAGUCGAGCGAGAUUUAGUGGAGUGGAGACUUCGGUCAAAGUGAAGCUAAUGAAAGCGGCGGACGGGUGAGUAACGCGUGGGCAACCUGCCCCAUACAAAGGGAUAGCCACUGGAAACGGUGAUUAAUACCUUAUAAGUCGGUAGUCUCGCAUGAGACAGCCGACAAAGAUUUAUCGGUAUGGGAUGGGCCCGCGUUUGAUUAGCUAGUUGGUGAGGUAACGGCUCACCAAGGCGACGAUCAAUAGCCGACCUGAGAGGGUGAUCGGCCACACUGGAACUGAGACACGGUCCAGACUCCUACGGGAGGCAGCAGUGGGGAAUAUUGCACAAUGGGCGCAAGCCUGAUGCAGCAACGCCGCGUGAGUGAUGAAGGCCUUCGGGUCGUAAAACUCUGUCCUAUGGGAAGAAAAAAAUGACGGUACCAUAGGAGGAAGCCCCGGCUAACUACGUGCCAGCAGCCGCGGUAAUACGUAGGGGGCAAGCGUUAUCCGGAAUUAUUGGGCGUAAAGAGCUCGUAGGCGGUUUGUCGCGUCUGCCGUGAAAGUCCGGGGCUCAACUCCGGAUCUGCGGUGGGUACGGGCAGACUAGAGUGAUGUAGGGGAGACUGGAAUUCCUGGUGUAGCGGUGAAAUGCGCAGAUAUCAGGAGGAACACCGAUGGCGAAGGCAGGUCUCUGGGCAUUAACUGACGCUGAGGAGCGAAAGCAUGGGGAGCGAACAGGAUUAGAUACCCUGGUAGUCC